ensembl:misc_RNA Metazoa_SRP Metazoan signal recognition particle RNA
GCUGGGUGCAGUGGUGUGUACCUGUAGUCCCAGCUACUUGGGAGGCUGAGGCAGGAUGAUUGCUUGAGCCCAGGAGCUGAAGGCUGCAGUGAGCUAUGAUCAGCCACUGCACUCCAGCCUGGGUGACAGAGCAAGACCCUGCCUCUA